rnacentral:lncRNA from 1 species
GACACUCUCAGAUGUCAGGUAUGUACCUAAUUUACGAAAGAAUCUCAUCUCCUUGAGUAUUUUAGACUUGAAAGGAUGCAGAAUCAACAUCGAGUAGAGCGGUAUUAAAGUAUCUCAUGGAGCUCUCGUUUUGUUAAAAGGUAAAAGAACUGGCAAUCUUUAUAUUCUGGAAGGUUCUACAGUGACCAGUGAAAUCGGACGUCCCUCAUCCGUUAUAGCGAAGUCAACUCAUUUGGAGCGGAGGAAACUUGGUCAUAGGAGGGAAAAAUGUAUGACCGUUUCGUUGAAGAGAGGUUCACUUUUGGAUGCAGGUUUUGAAAAGUUAGGGCACUGUGUUCGUGAAAAUUAGACCCGG